GGAUGAAAGUAGCUUGCUACUGGAUUCAGCGGCGGACGGNUGAGUAAUGCUUANGAAUCNGCCUAUUAGUGGGGGACAACAUCUAUGAAAGGGAUGCUAAUACCGCAUACGUCCUACGGGAGAAAGCAGGGGAUCUUCGGACCUUGCGCUNAUAGAUGAGCCUAAGUUGGAUUAGCUAGUUGGUGGGGUAAAGGCCUACCAAGGCGACGAUCUGUAGCGGGUNNGAGAGGAUGAUCCGCCACANUGGGANUGAGACACGGCCNAGACUCCUACGGGGCGCAGCAGAAGGGC
rnacentral:rRNA from 1 species